AUUAGAGCAGUUCCACCGGAGGUGGAAUAGCCCAGCACCCAGUCAAAAAACCAGGCUGGCACCCUGUCAAUUCACUCCAUCCCGUGAAAUCGACUGGCACCCAGCCCAAGCCAGUCCACAGGCCGGCCUAAAAUCGACAGACCUUGGGACUGGCCUAUCUGACGUCAGCGUGGCGUCGAAGGAGAAUCCGAGCACCGAGACAACGAGCGGUGAAUCGCUCUGGAGCUCGUUCUGGAACUUGACCCAGAGCCGCCUUGGCCGAAUCGGUGCGUCGAAGAGAACGAGUCGGUCGCUCGGCGGAGGACGGAGUAGGAGUACCGGUGGGGGGGCUUGGAGUUGGAUUCCGGGGCAGUCCGUUUUUGGGUGAUUUUUCGAAAGCAGACCAGGAGGAAGAGGAGGAGAGAGAAGGCGGUGGUGGUGGAGGCAGCGGCGAUAGGGUGGGGGAAGCGGCUGCUGACACGGGGUUGAGGCUGAGGACUAGCUGCGGGCUAUGGCGAUGGGGAGUGAAGGAAUUGGCGCAUCGUGGGGAC
rnacentral:lncRNA from 1 species